rnacentral:rRNA from 1 species
CCCUACGUGAGGCAGCAGUGGGGAAUAUUGGACAAUGGGCGAAAGCCUGAUCCAGCCAUGCCGCGUGUGUGAAGAAGGCCUUCGGGUUGUAAAGCACUUUCAGUGGGGAAGAAAGCCUUGGGGCUAAUACCCUCGAGGAAGGACAUCACCCACAGAAGAAGCACCGGCUAACUCCGUGCCAGCAGCCGCGGUAAUACGGAGGGUGCGAGCGUUAAUCGGAAUUACUGGGCGUAAAGCGCGCGUAGGCGGUCUGAUAAGCCGGUUGUGAAAGCCCCGGGCUCAACCUGGGAACGGCAUCCGGAACUGUCAGGCUAGAGUGCAGGAGAGGAAGGUAGAAUUCCCGGUGUAGCGGUGAAAUGCGUAGAGAUCGGGAGGAAUACCAGUGGCGAAGGCGGCCUUCUGGACUGACACUGACGCUGAGGUGCGAAAGCGUGGGUAGCAAACAGGAUUAGAUACCCCAGUAGUC